rnacentral:rRNA from 1 species
UGGGAAUUCCCAAUGGGCGAAAGCCUGACGGAGCAACGCCGCGUGAGGGAUGAAUGCCUAUGGGCUGUAAACCUCUUUUAUCAAGGAAGAAUAUCUGACGGGUCUUGGUGAAUAAGCCACGGGUUAUUUCGUGCCCGCCGCCCGGGGAAUUA